AACGAACGCUGGCGGCAGGCUUAACACAUGCAAGUCGAGCGCCCUUUUCGGAGGGAGCGGCAGACGGGUGAGUAACGCGUGGGAAUCUACCUUUUGCUACGGAAUAACUCAGGGAAACUUGUGCUAAUACCGUAUGUGUCCUUCGGGAGAAAGAUUUAUCGGCAAAGGAUGAGCCCGCGUUGGAUUAGCUAGUUGGUGAGGUAAUGGCUCACCAAGGCGACGAUCUUUAGCUGGUCUGAGAGGAUGAUCAGCCACACUGGGACUGAGACACGGCCCAGACUCCUACGGGAGGCAGCAGUGGGGAAUAUUGGACAAUGGGCGCAAGCCUGAUCCAGCCAUGCCGCGUGAGUGAUGAAGGCCUUAGGGUUGUAAAGCUCUUUCAGUAGGGAAGAUAAUGACGGUACCUACAGAAGAAGCCCCGGCUAACUUCGUGCCAGCAGCCGCCGUAAAAC
rnacentral:rRNA from 1 species